UACGAAGGGUGCAAGCGUUACUCGGAAUUACUGGGCGUAAAGCGUGCGUAGGCGGUUUGUUAAGUCGGUCGUGAAAGCCGCGGGCUCAACCUGGGAAUGGCGAUGGAUACUGGCGAGCUAGAGUACGGUAGAGGAGAGUGGAAUUCCCGGUGUAGCAGUGAAAUGCGUAGAGAUCGGGAGGAACAUCAGUUGCGAAGGCGGCUCUCUGGACCAGUACUGACGCUGAGGCACGAAAGCGUGGGGAGCAAACAGG
rnacentral:rRNA from 1 species